GCCACCAAGGUUUAACCAAAGACAUCCUAAAAUAAGAGAAUAACAUGAUGAAAUUUAAAAGAUGUAACAUAAUUAAAGAUAAAAGGAUGAUUAGAUAUGUGUUCCAUACCAUGUCAUGUUGAUUAAGCUGACAAAGCCUCUCAGUAGUCCUAGUCACAUUGCUUCCCCCUCUUCGAGCGCCUUUAUUCGAAAAUAUGAGAAGUUUGGCACAAAGUACCUAUGAUCCUUAAGCUGUUAUAGGUAAGC
rnacentral:lncRNA from 1 species